CCCCGCAGGAGGAUCCCGCUACACGCCGAGCAGAAGCGUCGCUGAGUCGGUGUGAGGACGGUCGAUGUCGCGCCACGGAGCGGACAGAAGCUUCACGCGGGAUUUACUGAGCCGCAGCUGGACUCGACUAUUCGAAGGAGCCUGCGGGCGAUGCGGAGGUUCACAUCGGCUCAGACACGCUGAUUCGAACUCUGGUUAGAGAGCUGAGCGCCGACUGUGGAGCAUCAGCCGCAGCAGCCCCUUCCCUGUGAGAGAGACCAAACCAUUCAACAACGUCGAAAGUUGCUUACUUCAAGAGGAAAUAUGCGGAGGAAGAGGAUCUACGUGGAGGCCUACAUGGAUAUUUUCAAAAACACCUGAUACUGCAGGAGGACCGGAGCUGCAUCCUGAAGCUGUCCCUGGAGAAGCUGAGGUUCCUGGAGGACCCUGAGGCCUAUCUGAGGCGCUCCGUCCUCAUCAACAACCUGCUGAGGAAGAUCCACCAUGAGGAGGAGGAGCUGGAGGCCGAAGAGGAGGAGGAAGAAGAAGAUGAAGUAGAAGAAGAGGAAGAGGAGGAGAAGGAGGUUAUUGGAGAGAGGGAGCAGCGGAGGCUGUUGUACCCGGACAGGACGAGGGUGAAGGUGCUGGUGAUGGACUGCUGCUCUCCAGCGUUUGGCCUGGAGGAGCUGCAGCAUUACCGGCUGGUGCCCUGUUACCCAUCAGCUGAAUGCCUGUGCAGCCUGGGUACCUGCCCGGGCCUGGCCCCCAAUCAUCAGGUACUUCUGUACAACCUGGACGACAACAGCUGACUGUCCAGACGUCACUUUUACGCCUCUUUUAUAAGCUGGGAAAUGCAAUGUCGACCUCCCUGAGAGGAAAGCUGCCGCGGUUUCCCUGAGGUUUCCACCAGAGGGACUUGUGUCGUAGGGUCCGUUUGACUCGUUGCCAGGAUGUCACGUCCUCUCGUCACCUUUCUAAGAGGCAGCGGUGGAUUUGAGACACUGAGAAACCCUGAUUCUUUUUCUGCCUCAGGAUCAAGAGGGUCUCUGAUGAUGAUGUCAAAACUGUUGCAGCGUCACUGCCAUUUCCCACAAUGUGAGAGACCUGAAGCAGGCACGAAUUGUUUGCUGUAAGUGUUGUGUCAUUUAUUUUUUAUUGUCACUGUUGCUCAUGUGAACCGUGAGCAUAUUCAGGGAUUUACAGACCGCGGGCGACUUUUGAUGCACCUUGGCUUGCGUGGAGAAUAUGCGCUGAUAUUGCUUCUGUUAUCUUUUCAUGCCGCUGUGUGAUUAAUAAAAUAUUCGGUGUAAUAUUCCCCAGACUGUGUGAACUGCCCCGCCAUCACUGCCUGUGGGAAGACUGUUCCCCUCUCUGUAUUUAAUGUCCCGUGUUCAUUCAAUAUGCUGUCACUCGUUUUCGUUUCGUAUCACUUUGCUGCCCUCUGCUGGUGAAAGAAUUCAAUCUGCAGACCUUUUUCUCUGCACUUGUGCUCAAAUCUCUCAAUGCAAGUGAAUGAUUAAAAAGGAUGGUAACUGUUCAGCAUAUGUAAGCAAAUGGUUUGGAACACACCAUAAUGAAGUUGUAUGCAGAUAAAAGUGUUUAUUCAUGUAUUUGUCAACUUAGAAAACUACAAAUAUAACAGCAUAAAUACUUAUAGGUAAAGGGGAGGUAAGAAUUGCUGACAGAUACUCUGCAUUUAUAAACACUUAAAAUGUCUUUACAUCUGUGUACAAAUACAUUAUAAUGUGUUAAAUAUAUUAAAUGUUUAUGCUACUUGUAUUAGAUAGUGGGCAUUCAAGUAAAGUUUUACCAAAAAGGAGAUAAUCUUUCUUUGCUGUUUUCCCUUUACAGCUAUGGUGAAUGAAGUCAUGAUUUGCCUUUUUGUGGUUUUAAAAAAGGUAACUUGUGUAUCCUCUAAUUCUCUUCGGCUCUAAGAAAUCCGAUUUUUUUAUCUGCUACCAAGUGAUUUGCUUGCAAAUGAUUCUCAGCCUUCUGGUGCUUCAAAGCUGGAUUUCAGAGAGCAGAAUGUCUGUAAAUCGAUAUUAUAUUCUAUAUUUUCUUGCUGUCACUCAUGACACUCCUGGUUUUGACAGCAGCUGCA